AACUGGGCUAGGCCGGAGGGUCAGGGGUCCUCUGUAAGCGCACAUCCCCUAUAUGGCGCGGUUGAAGUUCAAGGGGCGGCAUUUCGAAUGGUUGCUGGCCCAGGAUAUUAGUGUAGAAACCUCGUCCCGCAGGAUCAGUGGUGGCAGGGUCCCGGCUGGAGGGCCGGGGUAAACUGUCUUAACUGGGGGAACGGGUCAGGUCUGGAAAGAAGCAGCUCUACUUCAGACAGCUGAUGCUUGCGGACUCGCGGGGUGGAGCUGAGAUUCUGGAUCACCAGUUUCCAGGAGAACUGUCCACCCUUGAACAUGCCCACUU
rnacentral:SRP_RNA from 1 species